rnacentral:rRNA from 1 species
CUGCCCAAGAGACUGGGAUAACACCUGGAAACAGAUGCUAAUACCGGAUAACAACACUAGACGCAUGUCUAGAGUUUGAAAGAUGGUUCUGCUAUCACUCUUGGAUGGACCUGCGGUGCAUUAGCUAGUUGGUAAGGUAACGGCUUACCAAGGCAAUGAUGCAUAGCCGAGUUGAGAGACUGAUCGGCCACAUUGGGACUGAGACACGGCCCAAACUCCUACGGGAGGCAGCAGUAGGGAAUCUUCCACAAUGGACGAAAGUCUGAUGGAGCAACGCCGCGUGAGUGAAGAAGGGUUUCGGCUCGUAAAGCUCUGUUGGUAGUGAAGAAAGAUAGAGGUAGUAACUGGCCUUUAUUUGACGGUAAUUACUUAGAAAGUCACGGCUAACUACGUGCCAGCAGCCGCGGUAAUACGUAGGUGGCAAGCGUUGUCCGGAUUUAUUGGGCGUAAAGCGAGUGCAGGCGGUUCAAUAAGUCUGAUGUGAAAGCCUUCGGCUCAACCGGAGAAUUGCAUCAGAAACUGUCGAACUUGAGUGCAGAAGAGGAGAGUGGAACUCCAUGUGUAGCGGUGGAAUGCGUAGAUAUAUGGAAGAACACCAGUGGCGAAGGCGGCUCUCUGGUCUGCAACUGACGCUGAGGCUCGAAAGCAUGGGUAGCCAAAAGGGUUAGAUACCCUGGUAGUCCAUGCCGUAAAC